GACGAACGCUGGCGGCGUGCUUAACACAUGCAAGUCGAACGGAAAGGCCCUGCUUUUGUGGGGUGCUCGAGUGGCGAACGGGUGAGUAACACGUGAGUAACCUGCCCUUGACUUUGGGAUAACUUCAGGAAACUGGGGCUAAUACCGGAUAGGAGCUCCUGCUGCAUGGUGGGGGUUGGAAAGUUUCGGCGGUUGGGGAUGGACUCGCGGCUUAUCAGCUUGUUGGUGGGGUAGUGGCUUACCGAGGCUUUGACGGGUAGCCGGCCUGAGAGGGUGACCGGCCACAUUGGGACUGAGAUACGGCCCAGACUCCUACGGGAGGCAGCAGUGGGGAAUAUUGCACAAUGGGCGGAAGCCUGAUGCAGCAACGCCGCGUGCGGGAUGACGGCCUUCGGGUUGUAGACCGCUUUCGCCUGUGACGAAGCGUGAGUGGCGGUAAUGGGUAAAGAAGCACCGGCUAACUACGUG
rnacentral:rRNA from 1 species